rnacentral:rRNA from 1 species
AACGAACGCUGGCGGCAUGCCUAACACAUGCAAGUCGAACGAAGGCUUCGGCCUUAGUGGCGCACGGGUGCGUAACGCGUGGGAACCUGCCCCUCGGUUCGGAAUAACAGUUAGAAAUGACUGCUAAUACCGGAUGAUGACUUCGGUCCAAAGAUUUAUCGCCGAGGGAUGGGCCCGCGUAGGAUUAGCUAGUUGGUGGGGUAAAGGCCUACCAAGGCGACGAUCCGUAGCUGGUCUGAGAGGAUGAUCAGCCACACUGGAACUGAGACACGGUCCAGACUCCUACGGGAGGCAGCAGUGGGGAAUAUUGGACAAUGGGCGCAAGCCUGAUCCAGCAAUGCCGCGUGUGUGAAGAAGG